rnacentral:misc_RNA from 1 species
AGAAGAACUUAGCGAAAUGCGAUAAGUAAUGUGAAUUGCAGAAUUCCGUGAAUCAUCGAAUCUUUGAACGCACAUUGCGCCCCCUGGCAUUCCGGGGGGCAUGCCUGUCCGAGCGUCAUUUCUGCCCUCCAGCCCGGCUGGGUGUUGGGCGCUGUCCCCCCGGGGACACGCCCCAAAGGCAGUGGCGGCGCCGCGUCGGGUCCUCGAGCGUAUGGGGCUUUGUCACCCGCUCGGGACGGACUCGUCGGCGCUGGUCUUCCUCCAGGCGACCCUUCGGGGCUCGUCUUCCUUCGGUUGACCUCGGAUCAGGUAGGGUUACCCGCUGAACUUAAGCAUAUCAAUAAGCGGAGGA